AUUCCAGCUCCAAUAGCGUAUAUUAAAGUUGUUGCAGUUAAAAAGCUCGUAGUUGGAUUUCGGAACCGGCCGAUUGGUCCGUCCUCUGGAUCGUGUACUGAUCGGUCUGUUCUUCUUCGCGAAGACCGCGUGUGCCCUUAACUGGGUGGGCGCGGGAUUCGCGACGUUUACUUUGAAAAAAUUAGAGUGUUCAAAGCAGGCAGUCGCUUGAAUAUCUCAGCAUGGAAUAAUAGAAUAGGACUUUGGUCUUAUUUUGUUGGUUUCCGAGACCGAAGUAAUGAUUAAUAGGGACAGUUGGGGGCAUUCGUAUUUCAUUGUCAGAGGUGAAAUUCUUGGAUUUAUGAAAGACGAACUUCUGCGAAAGCAUUUGCCAAGGAUGUUUUCAUUG
rnacentral:rRNA from 1 species